rnacentral:sRNA from 1 species
GUCAGAGCAUACUAGAGACUACAGGAGAGGAAUUAUUCCCACAGAAUUUGGUGAUGUCCUUAUUGUAAUAUAUCCAAUGAAAAAUCACAUGUUCAGUAUUCAGAUAAUGAAAAAACCAGAGGUUCCCUUCUUUGGUCCCCUUUUUGAUGGUGCUAUUGUGAAUGGAAAGGUUCUACCCAUUAUGGUUAGAGCAACAGCUAUAAAUGCAAGCCGUGCUCUGAAAUCUCUGAUUCCGUUGUAUCAAAACUUUUUAUUCUCCCUCACGCUCUACUACUCAAAUGUACAGUACCUGUUGCAAAGUAGGAAAGCCAAAACUAAGUGGAAUGGAAUUGAUUGGUUCUGCUAAUGCAGUUGCCUUUCGUUAUAAUGAAACAUUAUAAAACCUC